GACGAACGCUGGCGGCGUGCUUAACACAUGCAAGUCGAACGAUGAAGCGGGUGCUUGCUCUCGUGGAUUAGUGGCGAACGGGCGAGUAACACGUGAGUAACCUGUCCUUUUCUUUGGGAUAACGGCUGGAAACGGCUGCUAAUACUGGAUAUUCAGGCUGCAUCGCAUGGUGUGGUUUGGAAAGGUUGUUUCUGGGGUUUGGUGGGCCCGCGGCCUAUCAGGUUGGUGGUGGGGUGAUGGCUUACCAAGGCGUUGACGGGUAGGCGGCCUGAGAGGGUGGGCGGUAGCACUGGGACUGAGAUACGGCCCAGACUACGACGGGGGGCAGCAGGGGGGAAAAUUGCACAAUGGACGAAAGUUUGAUGCAGCGACGCCGCGUGGAGGGUGUAGGCCUUCGGGUUGUGAACUCCUUUGUCUCGCGAAAAAGGCACAGUUUUGGCUGUGUUGAUGGUAGUGGGGGAAGAAGCGCCGGCUAACUACGUG
rnacentral:rRNA from 1 species